GUUACCGUCCAUCUAGUGAAGAGAGGAGAACCGGACAGAGGUAGCCAGCAUCCGUCAACGAGAGAGGGAGAAGCCUCACCGGGAUUUAACAGGUGGAAGAAACAACCGGGGAGCUCCAUCGGUCCACAAGAAAUGCAGACAGCCGGUGAUGAUGUAGUGGUAGCUAUGAUUAACUCAGGUUUUCACCCAGCGGCUAAAGAGUUGGAGCUGUGGAGGGAGUAUGACCUAUGGCUGAAAGGUGGCUGGUUCGAAUCCCGGGCCGGGUGCUGGAAAAAAUGGGUGGACUUGUUCUGACCACUGGAGGGCUGCUGGGUUCCCAUCCUCAAAACAGGAACCUUUUGUUGAUCAGAACUCUAGAGGUUCAUUGAACCCAAAAAUAUAUAGACCUUUUAGUGAUUCCAUAUUUUAAUAAACACGUUUUUCUUUUGAUUA